rnacentral:RNase_P_RNA from 1 species
AGAGAGGACCGGGUGACCGCGACGCCCCAGGGUGUCGAGGAAAGUCCGGGCUCCACAGGGCAGGGCGCCAGAUAACGUCUGGUAGGAGCAAUCCUCAGGCUAGUGCCACAGAAAUGAAGACCGCCCGUUUUACGGGUAAGGGUGCAACGGUGGGGUAAGAGCCCACCAGCGGUUCAGCAAUGUGCCGGCUAGGUAAACCCCGCUUGGAGCAAGACCGAAUAGGGAAGCAGGUGCUCGACACCACUGGCGGCCCGUCAGAAGCUUCCGGGUAGCGUCGCUAGAGGUGGGUGGCAACACUCAUCACAGAUAGAUGGUCACCUCCACCACGGUGGAACAG